rnacentral:rRNA from 1 species
UACAGAGGAUGCAAGCGUUAUCCGGAAUGAUUGGGCGUAAAGCGUCUGUAGGUGGCUUUUAAGUCCGCCGUCAAAUCCCAGGGCUCAACUCUGGACAGGCGGUGGAAACUACCAAGCUGGAGUACGGUAGGGCAGAGGGAAUUCCGGUGGAGCGGUGAAUGCGUAGAGAUCGGAAGAACACCAACGGCGAAGCACUCUGCUGGCCGACACUGACACUGAGAGACGAAGCUAGGGGGAGCGAAUGG